rnacentral:rRNA from 1 species
AGUGGCGCACGGGUGAGUAACGCGUGGAUAUCUGCCUUUUGGUUCGGAAUAACCCCGGGAAACUGGGGCUAAUACCGGAUGGUUCCUACGGGAUAAAGAUUUAUCGCCAAAAGAUGAGUCCGCGUACGAUUAGCUAGUUGGUGAGGUAAUGGCUCACCAAGGCGACGAUCGUUAGCUGGUCUGAGAGGACGAUCAGCCACACUGGGACUGAGGCACGGCCCAGACUCCUACGGGAGGCAGCAGUGGGGAAUAUUGGACAAUGGGGGCAACCCUGAUCCAGCCAUGCCGCGUGAGUGAUGAAGGCCUUCGGGUUGUAAAGCUCUUUUGGCGGGGACGAUGAUGACGGUACCCGCCGAAUAAGCCCCGGCUAACUUCGUGCCAGCAGCCGCGGUAAGACAAAGGGGGCUAGCGUUGUUCGGAAUUACUGGGCGUAAAGCGAGUGUAGGUGGUCAUCCAAGUUGGAUGUGAAAGCCUUGAGCUCAACUCCAGAAAUGCAUUCAG